rnacentral:rRNA from 1 species
UUGGCGGCGUGGUUAAGACAUGCAAGUCGAACGAGAGAAUUGCUAGCUUGCUAAUAAUUCUCUAGUGGCGCACGGGUGAGUAACACGUGAGUAACCUGCCCCCGAGAGCGGGAUAGCCCUGGGAAACUGGGAUUAAUACCGCAUAGUAUCGAAAGAUUAAAGCAGCAAUGCGCUUGGGGAUGGGCUCGCGGCCUAUUAGUCAGUUGGUGAGGUAACGGCUCACCAAGGCGAUGACGGGUAGCCGGUCUGAGAGGAUGUCCGGCCACACUGGAACUGAGACACGGUCCAGACACCUACGGGUGGCAGCAGUCGAGAAUCAUUCACAAUGGGGGAAACCCUGAUGGUGCGACGCCGCGUGGGGGAAUGAAGGUCUUCGGAUUGUAAACCCCUGUCAUGUGGGAGCAAAUUAAAAAGAUAGUACCACAAGAGGAAGAGACGGCUAACUCUGUGCCAGCAGCCGCGGUAAUACAGAGGUCUCAAGCGUUGUUCGGAAUCACUGGGCGUAAAGCGUGCGUAGGCUGUUUCGUAAGUCGUGUGUGAAAGGCGCGGGCUCAACCCGCGGACGGCACAUGAUACUGCGAGACUAGAGUAAUGGAGGGGGAACCGGAAUUCACGGUGUAGCAAAUCACUAGUGAAUUC